GACGAACCGUGCGAACGUUAUUCGGAAUCACUGGGCUUAAAGCGCGUGUAGGCGGGCCGCCACGUCGGGCGCUGAAAUCCCCCGGCUCAACCGGGGAACGGGCACCGAUACGAGCGGCCUGGAGGGGAGUAGGGGGACCUGGAACUUCCGGUGGAGUGGUGAAAUGCGUAGAGAUCCGGAGGAACACCAGAGGCGAAGGCGGCAUCCUGGACCGGCAUUGACGCUGAGGAGCGAAAGCCAGGGGAGCAAACGGG
rnacentral:rRNA from 1 species